CCUUGGUCCUCUCGCAAUACUACCUCGUGAACUUGGUCAGGUCCGGAAGGAAGCAGCCACAGCGGGCGACGUAUGUGCCGGGAUGUGGCUGGGGUAG
rnacentral:SRP_RNA from 1 species